rnacentral:misc_RNA from 1 species
GAUGAAGAACGUAGCGAAAUGCGAUAAUUAAUGUGAAUUGCAGAAUUCAGUGAAUCAUCGAGUCUUUGAACGCACAUUGCGCCCCCUGGUAUUCCGGGGGGCAUGCCUGUCCGAGCGUCAUUGCUGCCCUCAAGCACGGCUUGUGUGUUGGGCCUCCGUCCUCCUCCCGGGGGACGGGCCCGAAAGGCAGCGGCGGCACCGCGUCCGGUCCUCGAGCGUAUGGGGCUUCGUCACCCGCUCUUGUAGGCCCGGCCGGCGCUUGCCGACACAUCAAUCUUUUUUCCAGGUUGACCUCGGAUCAGGUAGGGAUACCCGCUGAACUUAAGCAUAUCAAUAAGCGGAGGA